rnacentral:misc_RNA from 1 species
CCAAAAGAAGAAGAGAAGAAGAAACCUGAGGUGAAGGCCAUUGACAUUUCUGGUUAGGUACAAGUACAGUGCAGAUCAAAAGUGCUUUUCUCAAUAAUGUUUGUUUUCCUAAGUAUUUUGGUUUGUUGGGAAAUUAAUCUGAAUUAUGUGCAUCUGUAAUGUCUAAGUUGUAAACAAAAAAAUGUUCUGAGAAUUUAAACUUUUA